rnacentral:lncRNA from 1 species
UCUCGAGAUGUUUUUACUUACAAUAUAUUGGUUGAUGCAUAUGGCAAAGAAGGAAUGAUUGAAGAUGUAGAGGAUGUGAUAGAGUUGAUGAUUCAAAGAGGAGAAUAUCCUGGUUUAGUUACUUACAAUUCACUCAUGGAUGGAUACUGCUUGCGGCGAGAGGUUGAUAAAUCAUUAGCAGUGUUCGAAAGCAUGAAGAGAAAGGGAAUAUUGCCUGAUACUCUUAGCUAUAAUAUCCUCAUCAACGGUUAUUGUAAGAAGUUUAAAGUGGACAGAGCCAUAGAUCUUUUUCAACAAAUGCCCGAUGAUGGUUUAACCCCAACUACUGAGACUUACAAUACUAUACUGCAAGGUUUUUUUCAUGUGGGUAGACAUGUUGAAGCCCGGAAAUUUUUUAAGGAAAAGAUGAUUAACCAAGGUGUUGAAUUGGAUAAAGUCACAUGCUCUAUCUUGUUGCAUGGUCUUUGCCAGAAUAGUUAUGUUGUUGAAGCACUAUCCUUUUUUCAAAUACUGGAAUCGAGGGGGUUAGUUCCUGAUAUACAUGUUUACAAUAUUCUGAUUGAUGGACUAAGCAAAAAUGGACAUCUAGAGAAUGCAAGAAGCCUUUUUGACAACCUUCCUUUGAAAGGUUUGCGGCCUAAUGUCAAGACAUUCACAAUGAUGAUCCAAGCAUAUUCUCAUGAAGGGUUAUUUGAGGAAGCAAAUGACCUCUUCUGGGAAAUGGAAGCAAAUGAUUGCUUGCCGGAUAAUGUGACCUACAAUACACUUAUGCAUGGUUAUUUACACAGUAAGAAGUACUAUGAAGCAGGUGUACUCCUGGAUGAAAUGCGUACUCGCGGCUUUAAAGCAGAUGCAUCUACCGCGUCUGCUUUACUGGAUUUACUUGAAGUGCAAGAACAGGAUCCCGCUCUCCUUGCUUUGCGCAAGAAGUACUUGCCGUAGGUGUAACAAAAGGAGAGUGGUAAGAUACAUAAUCUUAUCUAUUUUGCCAACAUUUUCCAAGGGUUUGAUAACCAAAUUUGCAGGCAUUAACAGUCGUGAUAAUGGCAUGUAGUAUAGAUAGAGGCUGUGCUACUACACUGUCAGAUGUCAUUGUUGUAUACCUUGUUGUUCUUCUCCUAUCGAGUAGUUUAUUUUUUCAACGCACUGCAGUUACAAGUUGUUGGGGUUCAUUAUAUAUAAAUUUUUUAAAAAUUAUUUAUGUUUCACAUGAACGUCCUUUUUUGUUUUUGCAUCGACUCUUUGUCUGUAGUAUGUCGAAUCGUUCUAAUGUCCUUGGUACAUGAGUUGACAAUUGACGUGAACACUUUAUAUAGGUUAAAUGUAGUCAGAUAGACUAGAUCUUCAAUCCAAAGAAAUGAAGAGCCUGUAUUAUGAGGGGGGGGGGGGGGGGGCACCAGUGGUUUUGGUGGCUUUUUGAAACCUUGUCGAUGGGCCUAUAUGAGAUCUAUGUUUAUAUUCCAUCUUCGUGAAUGGAUGUACUCUUAAUAUCAUAUUAUUUUGAAAGAACUUUGGAUUAGAUAUGGCAAUUGUCUGAAUGUUGGCCAGGAGUCUGUAUCUUCCCUUUAACAGCGCAUGUCUUUAAUAUCUAAUUUUCUGGUUCCUAUGUUCCCCAGGUUAACAGAUGCAAUUAUCUUAGACUUGCUUCUUUGCGUUCUGAUUGAUACCCUGUUGUAUAUGUUCUUAGGAAAAAUUAGUUGCUGAAUCACUAUUUCAUCUGGAGCACUGCUACUUACUAAUGGUUUUAGUUCUAUUCCCGGAAAAGAAUAUUUGUUGUUCACAAUCUCCACCGUUUUAUGAUUAAUUCUCCAAGAUCCUUGAGCCUCCAAUUUGUGCAGAAUUAAGUUUCAACGAAGGAUCAUCCUUAUGCCAGUGACCUGUGAACUAUAUAUUGUCUAUCUUAGUUUACUCUACAUGUAUAUAUUUGUUUUUUUUAAAUCUAACUUACAGUUUGAACAAAUUCAGACCUAGUUCGGUUCGUUAAUAUUACACAUACAUAGUGAAUUUGAACUUAGCUAUAACUAAGUUACUGGUUGCAGGUCAAAGUUUCAAGGUAGUAAACUUUGUGUCUUCUGGUUUAUUAUUAUACAUUACUGUAGGGCAAGAAUUUAUGGGUAUAGAGUAUUUUGUACCAUGCUUUUUAAGUGUUUGAUAAAAGUACUGACACAAGUUUUCAUUUUUUUUGGCAGAUUCAAUAUUUUGUUGAGGUUAGUUUACUCACCUUUAUAAUUAUAUAUAAUUGUCGAAUGUUUUGAUAUGACUUUUCUGUGGUUUCAUAUCAAAUCAAGUAUAGCUUAUGUAAUUUUAUAUUGGUGUGAUUUUCUGUUUUAUGAAUUGCAGGUUCAAGACUUUAAUAUUUUUUACAAGACGACUUAAAGACUAUUGAGAUUGAGGUAUACUAUUAUCUAAGGUAUACUAUUCUCCAUUGUCCUUUGUUUAAUCAAUGAAUGAAAUAUUUAUUGUAUUUAUGGCGAAGAUACUAUUAGUUUGUCAUGAUUUGUAGUCCUUAUUUUGAUAGACUAUCUUUAAUGUAGUGGGUUAAUAUUUUUUGUUAAAUGUUGGUUGGACUAUCAAACACGCUUUUUAUGGAAGAGAUAUCUACUUGUUUGGACAGUUCAACAACAUAUGAACUUGUUGAUUCACUGCGCCAUGUGGUUUUAUUCUUCAAGAAACUGCUCUCAUCUUUCUUUUGCAGCCAGCCCCGAAAAUGACUGUGAGGGAAACCUUGGAAUUUUCUGCCAGAUGUCGGGGAGUUGGAUGACUCUAUGGUUAGUUGAUAUUCAUUGUACUGUAUUCUCAGUACUGAUAUAUUUGCUUGGGGACUGAUAUGCUUAAUUAUAUGUUAAUUUGGCCGGGAAGCUACGAAGAACCGGGGAACCAAAGCAACAAUAGAGAACUGUAAUGAAAAGGAUUACUCUACGGCAACAGUAUGUGGUAGAGACCGGCCAAAACUACUAUUUGAUAUUGUGUGUGCCCACACAGCCAUGUAUUGUUUUCACAGCUAUUCAUAUAAUUUAUUAUGCAGAUGAUGAUCUUUCCUGGUUAUUGAAUUUUUAAAACUUAUGGCAAUCAAGUUUUUAACACGGCUUAGUUUAAUAACCUGCUGAUUAGUAUCUGGUUACAUGAAAUUCACAGGAGUAUUACAUUCGGCACAAGAAUGUCUUCCCCCUCCUAAACGUGGAUGAUGGAUGCCAAAAGGCCUGUGGUAACUAAACAUUUGAUUGCAGCAGUUGAAACGAGAGUUUCACAUGUUAGAUGUCCAGCUGUCCGCGCUCAAUAUAUUAGGCACUGUAAAUUUGGGUUUGGAUACAGCAACCAGAGUACCUGUGAUUCUUUGUAAGUUGAUUCUACAUUAUAUAUUCGAUGUAAUUUGAGUUUCACCUGUGAUUCUUUGGCCUGUGUUGUAGUGAAAUUAGCAGAAAGCCAUUUUUUAUGUUUCACUUUCCCUUUCCACCUCUACUUUCUUCCUACAAUUUCUUUCCAUGUUCACGGGCCGGCUACUUGAUGAGAACAUGUUGUUCACACCCUUGGAUGAGCCUUUUCUUCUAUUGUAUUUAGGGUUCCCAAACACUAGAUUGGACGGACUGGCUCUGCAUCUGCAACACUCUGCCCAAACCAAUUGAAUUCAGCGGCAGUCUAUCAAGUAAUGGUCUUUAGUUAUAACCAGGUUCAGCAAUCCACCAAAACACUAACUGAAAGCCGCAUAGAUAAAUUACAUUGUAGAAUGCAUUGUCAAAAGAUGAGCCCUUAUAAAUAUAUAAAAGGUUAUAAACUGCCGAAUCCACCAAGGUUUACAUAGUUGAAGAUAAUCAAACAUCCAUAUGUUUAUUUAGAUUAACUUGGAAAUGAAUGUGUUGGAUACACCAUUCCUUAGAUAAUUGUUAUAGCUUAGUAAUUGAUGGCACUCAGUCGUUCAUGCGUUCACAUAAUUUAUUCUCACAUUUGAUCGAGAUUAGAAUAUAGAGAUUUUUGUGUGGGCCUGAUGUUUUUAUUUGCAUUAUGUAACAGAAAAAGUUUUACAAUGUAUCUGUACAAAAUCCCGAAGAUGAGGAUUUUUGAUUUUCUUGAUUUUUGUAAUUGUAGAUGUUGCCUGAUCUUUGAUCUUAUACAAAAUGCUAAAGUGGAGGCUUGGAAUGAAUGUGUUGCAACCUGCAGACCAUAUAGUCACAGCUUUUAGUGAUAAAUUGACCUCAGGACCUUCGUUAACUUCAGUGAUGGGUUUUACUUAAUUGAUACUCCUAUCUCCAGACUUUAAUUAUAGGUUUUGUAAUUACAAGUUUAAAAUAUUCAGACUUUAAUUGCAGGUCUUUAUACUUACCAAUUUAUAAUACUAUAUGGUUUAGGAUCAAUUUUUGUAAUAUAAUGGUGAAAUGAGGAGGAAGAUGCGUGUGAAGGCUCAAAACAAAAUUCUAAAAAGAAAGAAGGUAUGGCACGGCUGCAUUCAAAUUGUAGUUUUAUUUAUCCUUUUAUGUGUGUUGUCAGCAUUAUAUCUUUAAUUGUCCUGUCUUUAGGUUUACGUUGACAAUUUUUAGUCAUUUAUCUCUAGUGAUUAAAUAUUUAUUUUGAGUUACUUUAUUAAGUGAAGAACUAGCACUGUAGCCCGUGCGAGGCACGGGCUUGUGCUUAUAUGCGUGAUGAUUUUCGUUGUUUCGACAAUGCGGCUGUUGUGGAUGCGUUCUCUGUUGAAACUAAUCCAUUAUGAAAGUUCUCCUGAUAAAUUGUAAUAAAUCUAAAAACUCAUGCAAGGUAAUGAAUGUGUCCAGCGGGAUGGGGAGAAAAGAGCGACAUCAUUUGGGGAGAUAUACUUGAUCCUCUAGGAAUUAAUGGGCAACCUAAGAAUCAUGUGAUGGUUCACAUGUUUAACAAAUUUGACAUCAGAAUCUUGAAAUGGUUUAAAACCUUUUAUAUGAUCGAACUUGAGGAAACCGUAAACUUAGCUGGACUUGGUUUAAAUCUUAUUUGUAUUAGGAGUUUGUUUUAUUGCUUGCUCAUUUAGUUAUAGUUUGGGUUCACAAAUGAAAAUGCAGAGCUAAAAGCUUCGCAUCCAGAAUUAACGAAUCUGGAUCUUCAGGUGUCCGUGAAUUCGGCACCAGCAGAUGGGCUAUUGUUUGCCACUGUUUGUCAAAUAGAUGAAAAUGAUAGGUUAUGCUGUGCUUUCAAGUGAGAAAAAGUGCUUCUGGGGAUAUUUCUCCAAGUUUUUUUUAUACGCCGCAACUUUGAUGCAAAUGAAUAUAACAUCUGGUUGCUGAUUAGUACAGAUUUAAUGUUUGUGAUGACCACUAACACUGGCUAGGUAUAGUGAUUACACUUACACUAUAAGAAGAAGCAUCUUUAGUAAAGAACUAAUUAUACUAAUGGCACAAUUAUAUUAGUGAUUAAAUCCACUUUGACAUAGGCUUUGCUGACUUCUUUUAUAAGAUCUCAUUUUUAAACUAAUAUUUGUUAUGCAGCAACCAUGCUAAAUAAUCAGCACAUCAAAAUGUAUAUACAUAAAUUUGGUGAUUAAUAUCACUUAAGCAUCCAUCAAACCCAUCAAAAGUAGCAUAAGGCUUUUCAUAUCACAAUUUCCUAAACAGUCAUUACCUUGCUCAUUUGAUAGCAAAUGAAACUACACACUGCUACAAGAGGUAGUAAGAAGAAAAGGGUUGUAAAUAGACCAGAAAAGUGAUGACAUCCAGGUUUUCAACUCCCUCGCUAUGUCCCCAUUCAUUUAUAGAUUUUCAAUCUUCUGGUUUGCAGACCAUAGGUAAACUAAACCUGAUAGACAAAUCGGAGACGGGAAAUUAAUUACGUUAUGUAUAUAAAAAUAAAAAAAGGAGAAGACUGAACAUAUAAUUAUUAUGCAUAGAAAGAUUACAGUUGGUUCGCUCAUUCAAUUUUAACUGAAUCUUGGCCAGGCUGAAAGUUAAAGAGUUAAAUGCAUUGUGUGUGCUUGUUGUUCCGAGUUUGCGCACUUUGUGUACCUUAUUUUUCAUAUCUAGCAAUUUUUUUUAAAAAGACAUUAUAAAACUAUAAUUUAUAAAAGUCUGCGUGCCAAAAAUUAGCAUAAAAAAUCUGGUGGGAGGGAGAGUAAUUUUUAGUUAGUUUUUAUCCAUCAAUUGUUUCUCCUCGUUGAGAUUAUAACAAUAGAGAUGACUACUGUUUUUAAUUGUAUCAACUUAUUAAUUAGCAUAUUUUAAAUUUUAAAUUAUUUAUCACUAUUUUUUACAUAUUUUUUAAUAAAUUUAACAUAAAAUAUUAUAGAGUUAAGUUCCAUGUAGUCCACAUUUACUGUAGUAUCGUAGACCACUGUAACACCCCAGUCCCACAUCGAGGAGUGUGGGGAUAUUUGUUCAGUUUAUAAGUAUAAGUACUACUACCAAUUGCACCAACAAAUCAUGAUCUUUUGGGGGCCUGUGGUGGGCUUGUGGAUUCCCCAAGUUGUUGCAGUUGGGCCAGUAUAUUUAGGCUUAUUUUCGGAUUCGGAUUUCGGGACUUGACCUGAUUUUCGGAAAAGACUCGGGAUUUGACCCGGGUUGUUUCAUAUGGUAUCAGAGCCAGGUUCUCGAAAGCUUGAUUCGUCAAGUUGCCGGAGGUGGGGACACGAAGGCUGGUGGUAUUAUCCCGCAAUGGAGAGAGAUCCGGAGGCGGGGACACGAAGCCAGCCGGUAUUAUCCCACAAUGGCUAGAGAGGUUCGAUCUGGGCCUAUGGGCUAUCCGUUUCGGCCUGACGAGGACGUCAGGAAUUUAAGUGGGGGAGUUUGUAACACCCCAGUCCCACAUCGAGGAGUGUGGGGAUAUUUGUUCAGUUUAUAAGUAUAAGUACUACUACCAAUUGCACCAACAAAUCAUGAUCUUUUGGGGGCCUGUGGUGGGCUUGUGGAUUCCCCAAGUUGUUGCAGUUGGGCCAGUAUAUUUAGGCUUAUUUUCGGAUUCGGAUUUCGGGACUUGACCUGAUUUUCGGAAAAGACUCGGGAUUUGACCCGGGUUGUUUCAACCACGUAUGUUUUGCAACUAUAGAAUGACAUAAAAACAUUGCAAAAUGUAUGGAUAUUUGUUCAGUUUAUAAGUAUAAGUACUACUACCAAUUGCACCAACAAAUCAUGAUCUUUUGGGGGCCUGUGGUGGGCUUGUGGAUUCCCCAAGUUGUUGCAGUUGGGCCAGUAUAUUUAGGCUUAUUUUCGGAUUCGGAUUUCGGGACUUGACCUGAUUUUCGGAAAAGACUCGGGAUUUGACCCGGGUUGUUUCAACCACGUAUGUUUUGCAACUAUAGAAUGACAUAAAAACAUUGCAAAAUGUAUGAAACUUGUUAUUUUGUGAAAUACAUUCUAUAAAUAUCACUAUUUCAUGAAAAAUAUUGAAAAUCAUUUAUGUUCGACAAGUAGAACACAGAUGUUCUGUAAUAUGUAAAUAUGUUCUGCAAACUUAACAUGUUUUGCAGAAUAAUGUGUUUUUGACUAUUUAACUUAUAGAAUAUUUAGGAUUGUCAAAAUUUUUAACAAAAUAAUGAUGUUUAUAGAAUAUGAUUUGCAAAAUAACACAUUUUGCAAUGUUUUUACGCCAUUCCAUAGUUGCAGAACAUAUGUGGUCUACGGUACUACAGUAAAUAUGUGGACUACAUGGAACUUUGUUCAAAUAUUAUAUCGAUUGAGUUAUAUACAUAUAUAUAUUAUUGUACAUAUAUAAUUAAACUUAUAAAUAUUAAUUUAAAUAUAUAGAUAAUGAGAGUCAAACUUUAGUUUUUUGUUUAGAAAUGUUCUAAUAAAUAAGAGUUGUCACUAAUUUAAAACAAAUUUAUUAACAAUUAUAAUACUAGUAUGUUUUUCUCGUGCUCUGCAAGUGGGCUUAAUUUUUAUUUUAUUUUUGUGAUAAGCACAAUUUCGAUAAUUAUAAUAUCAUGAAUAUUUAUUAAAAAAUUAUUUAACUAACUAUAUCAAAUAGACUAUGAUACGCAUGAAUGUCCAACCACAAAUAAUAAUAUUUUUAUUUUUUACCUUUGUAUUUAAUAUUAUCCUUUUUAAAAUUUUGACUUUUUCUAAAAAUUAUUCUCAAAUCAUAAUGUUCAUAUGAAUAUAUUUCAGAAUGAUAUAUUUUAUUUUAAUACAAUCAUAAUGUUAAUCGAUGAUCUUUAAAGAGACGAAAAAAAUAUUCGGUACCAAAAAAAUAUAAGUUAGAUUUUAAGGUUUUUGAUGUUUAAUAAAAUUUAUUUUUCUAUUUAUGAUUAUUUGAGGCAUUGUGACUGCAAUACCACCACAUUUUUCGUCUUUAUCACAAUUUUCUGAAAGGUAUAAGUUGAAUUAAAAUUUAUAUUAAUAUGAAUUUAGUUAAUAAUAUAUGUAAAUAUGAAUUUCUCAUUGAUAUGAAUUCUAAAUAUUAUUAAAAAAUUUAUAGAGUUAUUUCAUAAAUUAAAUUAUUCGAAAUUCAAAUAUCAAAAUCAAAAUCAUAAUAUAAUUGUUAUUAUCAUUAUUAAAUAGAAAAAUCAUGUGAUAAUCAAAUUUUGAUAUUUUGAUAUUUAUAUUGUAAUAGUCCACUGAUGUGAUUUUGUUAUUGAUGAAGCAUAGAUAUCAUCACAUCCCGACGAAUUUGUAGCUUUUCGUGUGCAUGUUAAUCUACCUAAAGCUAAUUAGAUCCUUGCCAAACACCCAUAUCUUUCCUCUAGCUUUUUAUGUCUUGGUCUCUAUUAUUUUUUUAUCUUUCUUCAGCUGUGCAUUUGACGGAGUUAGGUGCAAACUAACGGAGGUACACUAUUUGCAAGAAUCUUGUAACUAAAGGUACACAAAGUGCUAGAUAUAAAAAUUAAGGUACACAACAUGCAUAAAGUUGAAACAACAGGUACACAAUAUGCAUUUAACUCAAAGCUAAGGGCAAAGUGCUAAUUUUUCGAAGUUAGCUAAUAAUUAAGCAAAUAGUCUGGCAGAAGUACAAAUGCAAAAGUGGACUAAUACACUUCUGAUCACCACAUGAAGAAUUUUCAGGUCCUGUACAAGUGAAGUCCUUUUAGUAAUUUAUGGUACUUUUCUUGAUCCAUAGAUGACGGAAGAGUAUAUUCUCUUGUAUAGUGCCUGUUUGUUUCCAUGCUGUCCGAGAAACGUAAGCUACCAUUCCAUGCACCUGACCUAUAAAAUUUUGAAUGGGUGAGAAAACAAAUUGCAAAGCUGCAUGUUUAUAAAUUGAGAUUUAUAUGUUAGUCAAACUCUACAGGAAUAUCUUUGAGAAAGCGUCAAUCGAAAUAGCUCAUGGCUUUUAUCAAGAACAAACUAUCUGUGUUUUUUUUUUACGAAGUUUUUUGCCACAAUGAUUUGUUACAUAUGAUAAUGAUAGUGCAUGCAAACAAAAAAAGGCAAUAUUGACAUAGCAGCAAAGGUAAUCCUAAUCUAAUACAUAAACUAAUUAAACUCUAAACUUAUCUAUCCAGGUAAUGGCUAAAAGCAACCGCAGGUUAAUUCAAGCAAGUCCCAACAUGCAUUAUGGGAAACUACAGUUAAAAAACAACCAGAAGCUCAUUUGAAGCAUUAAGAUGUGAUAUAUGCUUUUUCCAUCAAAAAAAAAAAAAAAAAAAAUGUGAUAUAUGCUUUAGUAAAAUUGAAACAAUUGUAUGUGCAGCAGACCUAUUUAAAAUAUCUGCCACAGGAUAAUAGCUAUUACAAGGACUUGAUCCUAGCUGAUCAAGAAAAAGACAAUCAUUUCUAUGAUAACCCAUAUGAAAAACAUGUUGGUGCAAUUUGGAUCGCUCGGGAUAUCUUCGAUUCCGUUUUUAGCUUCAAGAAAACAAUUGAUCUUUUUAGUAUGUUAUUUGUUUUACAAUGUGGUUGUAUCGGCAGUUGGGGGUUGUUCCCAGCUGUAUUAUAUUUAAUUUAAUCAAAUCUUCUUGCAUUUGUAAAAAAAAAAAAAGUCACUCAUAAGUAUUGUUAAAUCAUGGAAAACUAAUAUUUUGGAUUAAAUUUAACUAAAAUUAAGAUAAAAUUUUAAAUUAUACCAACAUCAUAUAAAAAUUAUAUAUUUUUACAGCACUUCUGACUUACAAACAAAUCAUAAUUUCAAAUUUUAUUUAAUUGAAAAUUUAAUUAUUAUUUGUAAAUUAAUUUUUUCACAUAAUUUAAAAUAUAUCUAAAAUGUUUAUAAAUAAAUAAAAAGUUCUCGUGCAGGCUAUAAGCUAGUACUAUUACAGUCAAAACAUUAACAAUUUGGUUUGUCGGUACUUGGGCCAAAUUACGAGUCUAUCUAUAUAACUAAUUAUUCUUUUUAAUUGAAAUAUAUUAUUUUUUUUAUAUUUCUAACUAAAAAAUCUCAAACUUCUAAAAUAACAUUGAAAAUCAUGAUAAUUAUCUUUUUAACUAAAAUAUAUUAUCUUUUUAUAAAUUUUUUAACUAACAAACCGAUUUUUUACAAUUAAUACAGACACAGGCGACAUAUUUAUAAAAAUAUAAUAUUAUUAUAUUGGUCGGGCGGUCGGUACUUGGGCCAAAGAUUGGGCCUAUAAAUAUAACCAAUUAUUUUUUUAACCAAAAUACAUAAUCUUUUAUAUAUUUUUUACCUAAAAAAACUCAAUCUUCUAAAAUAACAUCGAGGAAAAUAGUAAUUACCUUUUAACCGAAACGCAUGAUCUCUUUUAGAUUUUUAACUAAAAAACCGAACUUUUACAAUUAACACGGGCGACAUUAUAUAUAUAAAUACGGUCUUUCUAAUGUGUGUCCAAGGGCACACAAGAAGCACCAACUUUCAUGAAAAUGGCUUGUUUUGAUUGGUGGAAUUGAUGUAAAUGCAGGGGGGUCAUUUACAUUUAUUAUCCAUCCACCAAUCAAAAGCUAGUAUUCUCAUGGAUGUUAGUGACUAUUGUGUGCCCUUGGGCACACCAUAGAAAAUUCGAUAUAAAUAUAACAUCAUUAUACAUAAUUAUUAAUAAAAGAGCAAGGAAAGAAACAUGUGAUUUUAUUCAACAAAUAUACGUUAAUAACAUUAUUUUUAAAUACUCUAAUAAUCUCACGUUAAAAGAAAUUUUAUAAAUCUGUAAUAUACUAUAUAUUAUUACACUAUUAAAGUCGAAAUAUAAAAGCUUCAGUUGAUUGGUUGGUGAGUUGAGUUUGAUGAACCUGUAUUAUCGACUCAUGUAGCUCUUGAAUUUAUAACAUGUUAUAAUAUAUUUUUUAUAUUUAUUUAUUAAAUCAAAACGUUAAAUUUAGGUUAGUACGAAGAGUUCGGUAUUUGGUUUCAUGCCUCCCUUUGACUUAUAAUAUGUUUUAUAAUUUUAGAGUGUUUGACAAGCAGAGAGAUUGUAUAAGAAGGCAACUCACAGCAGCUUAUACGCCGCAACCAUCAUGAAUAUGGUCCGUUGUGUUCUGAAAGAAAAAGAGUGCCGAAACCUUACUGGGCUGAAGCUGCUAAUUGGGUGGCACAUGUUCUCAAUAUCAGCGAUAAAAGAAAAGACACCAGAAGAUGAUACAUUGUGGAACAGAAGAGCAGCUUGCGGACAUCAUGACAAAGCCACUUAAACUGGGAGUUUGUGAUGAGUUAAACUGGGAGUUUGUAAAUACAAUCAGUUUAGGAGAGGCAUUGUUGGGUUAGACUUGGUCGCGUUUUGUUAGCAAGUAGUUAAAUAAACUCCUAUCUUUCAGGAGAUAGUUAGUACUGUAUUGGGUUAGAUUUUCACUUUCUGUAGUUAUCUUUGUAAGGCUAUUUAUAAUCCAGAGCUUGAAUAUUUCUCUGCAUACUAUAGUUUCAGUUUUAACAGAGAUAUGAUGGUGAUGAUGAUGAAAUUUUUGAUAUCAAAUUCUCGAUUCCUACCACAUUCUGCUGCUUCACUUCAUACAUCCUUUUGUUUUUCUGCAGUUUCUCACUUCUCCACUAAACCAAACCCUAAUAUUUCCCUUAAAUCCAAACCCCAAUUCCCUUAUUCUUCUAAUCCAGCUCAUGCUCGUCUUCAACAUUUACUCCUUGACAAGUCCAAGGUUGGUUUCGAUAAACUCGAUGAUGCUCUUCGAGUGUUUAAUAAAAUGCUCCUUAUGAAACCUCUGCUUCCUGUUAUCAACUUCGCUCAACUACUAGCUGCCCUUGUUAAAAUGAAAGAGUACUCUGUAGCUGUCUCCCUUUUUAGGAAGAUGCGUGUAGAAAGCAUCCCUGUUAGUGUAAUUACCAUUAAUACUGUCAUUAACUGUUUCUGUCACUUGAAUCGUGUCGAUUUUGCCUUUUCACUAUUGGCUGGAAUCAUCAAGCACGGUUUUGUCCCUGAUGUGGUUACUUAUAACACUCUCAUCAGGGGCCUUAUUUCCCAAGAUAUGCUUCAAGAGGCUCAGCUUUUGUUCCAGAACCUCAUCAGAUUUCAACUUAUUCAACCCAAUGUUGUAACCUAUAACACAAUCAUCGACGGCAUCUGCAAGAGAGGGAAUCCUUCGGUGGCUGUUAAGUUGUUCAAAAUUAUGGAGAAGAAAGGUUGCAAGCCUAAUACUGUAACUUACACAACAAUUAUUGACUGUUUGUGUAAGCAUAGAUUAGUUGAUCAAGCAUUGGGUCUUCUCCACCAAAUGACAAAGAAAGGCGUAUCCCCAAAUGUUAUAACCUACAGCUCAUUAAUUCAAGGGUUGUGUGACGUUAAUCGAUGGCAUGAUAUCCGUCAAUUGCGUAAGGAGAUGGAUGAUAGGAACAUCUCUCCAAAUCUUUAUACUUUCAACAUAUUGGUUGAUGCAUAUGGCAAAGAAGGACUGAUUGAAGAUGCAGAGGAUGUGAUAAAGUUGAUGAUUCAAAGAGGAGUAUAUCCUGAUGUAGUCACUUACAGUUCACUCAUGGAUGGAUACUGCUUGCGGGGAGAGGUUGAUAAAGCUCUAGCAGUGUUCGAAAGCAUGAAGAGAA